CCUACGGGAGGCAGCAGUUAGGAAUCUUGCGCAAUGGGCGAAAGCCUGACGCAGCAACGCCGCGUGGGGGAUGAAGGCCCUCGGGUUGUAAACCCCUUUCAGUCGGGACGAAAAUGACGGUACCGACAGAAGAAGCCCCGGCCAACUACGUGCCAGCAGCCGCGGUGACACGUAGGGGGCAAGCGUUGUCCGGAUUUAUUGGGCGUAAAGGGCUCGUAGGCGGUUCGACAAGUCGGGUGUGAAACCUCCAGGCUCAACCUGGAGUCGCCGCUCGAAACUGUUGUGACUAGAGUCCGGUAGAGGAGCAUGGAAUUUGUGGUGUAGCGGUGGAAUGCGCAGAUAUCACAAGGAACACCAGUAGCGAAGGCGAUGCUCUGGGCCGGUACUGACGCUGAGGAGCGAAAGCAUGGGGAGCGAACAGGAUUAGAUACCCCAGUAGU
rnacentral:rRNA from 1 species